GUGGGGAAUCUUGCGCAAUGGGCGAAAGCCUGACGCAGCAACGCCGCGUGCGGGAUGACGGCCUUCAAGGUUGUAAACCGCUUUCAGCAGGGACGAAAAUGACGGUACCUGCAGAAGAAGCCCCGGCUAACUACGUGCCAGCAGCCGCGGUAAUACGUAGGGGGCAAGCGUUGUCCGGAUUCAUUGGGCGUAAAGAGCUCGUAGGCGGUUCAGUAAGUCGGGUGUGAAAGCUCCGAGCUCAACGCGGAGAGGCCACCCGAUACUGCUGUGACUUGAGUACAGUAGGGGAGCGUGGAAUUCCUGGUGUAGCGGUGAAAUGCGCAGAUAUCAGGAGGAACACCAGCGGCGAAGGCGGCGCUCUGGGCUGUAACUGACGCUGAGGAGCGAAAGUGUGGGUAGCAAACAGGAUUAGAAACCCUGGUAGUCC
rnacentral:rRNA from 1 species